GACGAACGCUGGCGGCGUGCUUAACACAUGCAAGUCGAGCGGAAAGGCCACUUCGGUGGUACUCGAGCGGCGAACGGGUGAGUAACACGUGAGUAAUCUGCCCCUCACUUUGGGAUAGCCACCGGAAACGGUGAUUAAUACCGGAUAUGACCAUAUGUCGCAUGGCGUGUGGUGGAAAGUUUUUCGGUGAGGGAUGUGCUCGCGGCCUAUCAGCUUGAUGGUGAGGUAAUGGCUCACCAUGGCUUCGACGGGUAGCCGGCCUGAGAGGGUGACCGGUCACAAUGGGACUGAGACACGGCCCAGACUCCUACGGGAGGCAGCAGUGGGGAAUAUUGGACAAUGGGCGGAAGCCUGAUCCAGCAACGCCGCGUGAGGGAUGACGGCCUUCGGGUUGUAAACCUCUUUCAGUACCGACGAAGCGCAAGUGACGGUAGGUACAGAAGAAGCACCGGCCAACUACGUG
rnacentral:rRNA from 1 species